rfam:Schistosoma mansoni, Puerto Rico, WGS project CABG01000000 data, contig: 0170
GCACUGCUGAGGAGUCCCACUAUAGGACGAAACGGCCGUCAAGCCGUGC